ACGGGUGAGUAAUGUCUGGGAAACUGCCCGAUGGAGGGGGAUAACUACUGGAAACGGUAGCUAAUACCGCAUAACGUCGCAAGACCAAAGUGGGGGACCUUCGGGCCUCACACCAUCGGAUGUGCCCAGAUGGGAUUAGCUAGUAGGUGGGGUAAUGGCUCACCUAGGCGACGAUCCCUAGCUGGUCUGAGAGGAUGACCAGCCACACUGGAACUGAGACACGGUCCAGACUCCUACGGGAGGCAGCAGUGGGGAAUAUUGCACAAUGGGCGCAAGCCUGAUGCAGCCAUGCCGCGUGUAUGAAGAAGGCCUUCGGGUUGUAAAGUACUUUCAGCGGGGAGGAAGGCGGUGAAGUUAAUAGCUUCACCGAUUGACGUUACCCGCAGAAGAAGCACCGGCUAACUCCGUGCCAGCAGCCGCGGUAAUACGGAGGGUGCAAGCGUUAAUCGGAAUUACUGGGCGUAAAGCGCACGCAGGCGGUCUGUCAAGUCGGAUGUGAAAUCCCCGGGCUUAACCUGGGAACUGCAUUCGAAACUGGCAGGCUGGAGUCUUGUAGAGGGGGGUAGAAUUCCAGGUGUAGC
rnacentral:rRNA from 1 species